rnacentral:rRNA from 1 species
CCUACGGGGGGCAGCAGUGAGGAAUAUUGGUCAAUGGCCGCAGGGCUGAACCAGCCAAGUCGCGUGAGGGAUGACGGUCCUAUGGAUUGUAAACCUCUUUUGUCAGGGAGCAAAGGGCGCCACGUGUGGCGUUUUGCGAGUACCUGAAGAAAAAGCAUCGGCUAACUCCGUGCCAGCAGCCGCGGUAAUACGGAGGAUGCGAGCGUUAUCCGGAUUUAUUGGGUUUAAAGGGUGCGUAGGCGGUCCGUUAAGUCAGCGGUAAAAUUGCGGGGCUCAACCCCGUCGAGCCGUUGAAACUGGCAAACUGGAGUGUGUGAGAGGAUAGUGGAAUUCCAGGUGUAGGAGUGAAAUCCGUAGAUAUCUGGAGGAACAUCAGUGGCGAAGGCGACUAUCUGGCACAUAACUGACGCUGAGGAGCGAAAGCGUGGGUAGCAAACAGGAUUAGAUACCCCAGUAGUC